GCUCCCUCAACCCCGAGGUGCCGCGAAUGGAUCCCAGAAUUCUCAUUUUCCUUCUCUACGUGAUGAUCCUGCACGAGCUGGUGAGCGGCUGGAUGCAGUACCAGAAGCAGAUGGCCAAGCCCAAGAAGCAGGCGGGGCCGGUGUGGUCCUCCAGCAGCACCCCCAGGGCAGCCCCCUCCGCCUUCUGCCGGCCGCUGGUGCACUCGGUGCGCAGGGAGCGGCACCGGGACUGGAGGAAGCCGGGCAGGAUCAUCCGCAAAGCCUGAGCAGGAGCUGCUGGGGGCGUGGGGAGGCUGCUGAGGCAGAGACAGCCCCCUCGGCUCUGCAGCACCCCCUCACCGAGAGCAUCCUCCAGGGAUCUGCGUCCUGCAUCCUCCCGGGCAUCCAUCCCUGCCUGCGGAGCAGCCACACGGAGCAGGGACAGCCCGAGCUGGGAUGAGGAUUUACCACCCAACACCAUGAAGUGACUUUUCUUUCUUCUUCCUGAUAUAAAUGAAAAUUUGUCCAGCCAAAUUAAUAUGAAAAAAUAAAAUAUUUAUUUGCAAUCAAAUUGUACCUAGCCAGCCACAAGGAAAGAACAGAGCCGAGCCCGGGGUCGGCCCUGGGUGUGCAACAAGGAGUCAGCCUCAGCAGAGGUUUUCCUCCAUGCCCACACACCUACAGCCUGGCACAAGUGUUUUUAUAGGGAAAAUUCCACCUGAGGCCAAGAUUUCAGCAAUCAGUCUUUUCUUCUAUUCAGAGUCUACAUGUUAAUAAGAUUUUCCUUUUUGGUGAUGAGGGAGAACAAUUCAGUGUCCGGAGUUUGUUGAAUCCUUUGAUGAAAUUUACGGGAACUCUGCAUUCCCAUGGAUCUGCCCGAGGAUUUCCAUGAUUUCCAUCCCGGGUUGAUCACACGAUGAUCAGCACCUGGGGUUUCUGUAUCUCCCCAGCCAUGGCCCAUCUCCUGGCGAGCCGUACCUUCUUACUUGUAAAUCAGUUUCCAAUCUACACCCGGUCUCUCCUGCGAGGGUGGGGGGGGAAUCCUAAUACAAACAUGUAUACUCCAACAAAUAUUCAAUAUCACACAUAUAUUAGAAAUGGCACAAAUUAUAUCUACUACACAUAACAUUCCCCGAGGGCUGAAUGGAUGGAGAGCAGAUUUCCCAGGGGAAAAUGGAAUUUGCAGGGAGUGCAGGAGUCUACCUGGGAAGACUCCCAAUGGUUUCAGGCUCCUCUUCUCCCACUCCAGGACUGCGUGGCAGGAGCAUUUCCCAAAGUGGCUGGAAAAGCUUCAGUGUCCAGUUUGCCACCACUCCCAGGAGGAGCUGCCUCCCCUGGGACACCCAGAAGUCACAGCACUUUGGGAGUGCUGGCUCCCUGCUAAGUCUCAUGCACAAUUAUUUUCUGCUUUUCCCCACCUUUGUUAAAUGAAUUGCUCCAGGGAAGAGGAGGGAAAACGUCCUGAACCGGUGACUCAGAGUUAUGUCACCAAAUGCAAUUUACUGCAAUGCCCUUGUAAUUAGCAUUUUUGGAGCCUUCCCAGCAGCUGAGGCAAAUAAAUGUUAAGAGCCACUUUCUAAUGAGCAGAUAGGUGGGGAAGGAACACAGUCAUGCUCUUUAAACUCUGCUGUUUAGGCAUAAAAUCAGAUUUUUGAGGCACAAGUCAGCUGUGCACCCUGCAGCCCAGAGAGCUGGAAUCGUGGAGCAUGGAAGGAUUCUGACACUGGGCUCCAACAGCAGCUGCCCAUGGCAAAACUGCUCCUUAUUUGCUGAACAUAAUGUUUGGCCCAAACACAGCCUGUUUUCCUCGUUGCCAACCAUUUGUGAGCCUGACUCAGGCUCAGACACAUUAUCCAGAAGCAGAUAGGAAGGGGAGUCGGAAUAGAUUAUGCAUUCAUUAUCCAGAAGUAGCCAUCAGAUACAUUUGCACAUUUGUCUGCUGCUCAGUUGUUUGCAAAUCGUUCCUGGUGGUUGAUGCUGUGUUUGUUCAGUCACCCAGGGCUGGAAGUUCCCAAUCCUCUCUCCCAGGCAGGCUGGAUCAGUGACUUGGAUGUAAAUCUCUACUUUCACCUACAGGAGAUGAAGUUUCUACCUUGAAGUUCAUGCCUUGUGUUGAGAUGGUUUUGAAAAAGGAGGCAGAAACAGCUGUGACAGUUUCUGCACAUUUCAGAGCAUAAAUUCUGUAAAAUU
ensembl:lncRNA